rnacentral:tRNA from 1 species
GCGGGUGUAGCUCAGUUGGUUAGAGCGCCGGCCUGUCACGCCGGAGGUCGCGGGUUC